rnacentral:rRNA from 1 species
AGCGAACGUUAGCGGCGGGCCUAACACAUGCAAGUCGAGCGAGAAAGGGGCUUCGGCCCCGAGUACAGCGGCGGACGGGUGAGGAACACGUAGGUAAUCUGCCCUUCGAUGGAGGACGACGGUCCGAAAGGACCGCUAAUACUGCAUACGUUCCCCGGGACCUCGGUCCUGGGGAGGAAAGCCUCGCAAGGGGCGUCGGAGGAGGAGCCUGCGUCGCAUCAGCUAGUUGGUGGGGUAACGGCCUACCAAGGCGAAGACGCGUAGCUGGUCUGAGAGGAUGAUCAGCCACACUGGGACUGAGACACGGCCCAGACUCCUACGGGAGGCAGCAGUGGGGAAUAUUGGACAAUGGGCGAAAGCCUGAUCCAGCCACGCCGCGUGAGUGAUGAAGGCCUUCGAGUCGUAAAGCUCUGUGGGGAGGGACGAAUUGCCCGGUGAAGAGCCGGGAGUGACGGUACCUCCUUAGCAAGCACCGGCUAACUUCGUGCCAGCCGCCGCGGUAAAAC